ACACACUAAGCGCGUUAAACUCUCUAUAAAGGCAUUUGCUUGGUAUUGGGUUUCAAUAUCUAGUUUUGUACCCAGCUCUCUUGAGGGUUGUGGAGUGUAGCUAGUAUUGAACAUGGAGAUCAAUUAUGCUCUGGCAUUGCUCUUAGUCCUCAUUCUCAACUUGGGUAGUUUGCUCACUUCUCUUGCUAACUCCUAUUGCCCACCACCAACAUACCCUCCAGUUCCUCACUUGCCACCCAAACACCCUCCCCAUGUAACUCCACCCUUCCACCCUAAACCACCAAAGAAGCCACCACCAUAUGUCAAACCACCUCAUGCAAAGCCUCCUCCUCAUGUACCAAUCAAACCCCCUCAUGUUAAACCACCCAUUGUAAAACCACCUCCUUAUCCGAAACCUCCAGUUGCCAAACCACCUCCCCAUCCCAAACCUCCUGUUGUCAAACCACCUCCCCAUCCCAAACCUCCUGUUGUCAAACCACCUCCCCAUCCCAAACCUCCUGUUGUCAAACCACCUCCCUAUCCCAAACCUCCUGUUGUCAAACCACCUCACCUAUCCCAAACCUCCUGUUGUCAAACCACCCUCCCUAUCCCAAACCUCCUGUUGUCAAACCACCUCCCUAUCCCAAACCUCCUGUUGUCAAACCACCUCACCAUCCCAAGCCUCCUGUUGUCAAACCACCUCCCCAUCCCAAACCUCCUGUUGUCAAGCCUCCAGUUGUCAAACCACCUCCCCAUCCCAAACCACCAGUUGUACUGCCUCCACCAUAUACCCCGAAGCCCCGGUUGUACUGCCUUCCACCAUAUACCCCGAAGCCCCCGGUUGUGCUGCCUCCACCAUAUACCCCGAAGCCCCCGGUUGUG
rnacentral:lncRNA from 1 species